GAUGAACGCUGGCGGCGUGCCUAAUACAUGCAAGUCGAGCGAACAGAUGAGGAUCUUGCUCCUCUGACGUUAGCGGCGGACGGGUGAGUAACACGUGGAUAACCUACCUAUAAGACUGGGAUAACUUCGGGAAACCGGAGUUAAUACCGGAUAAUAUAUUGAACCGCAUGGUUCAGUAGUGAAAGACGGUUUUGCUGUCACUUAUAGAUGUAUCCGCGCCGCAUUAGCUAGUUGGUAAGGUAACGGCUUACCAAGGCAACGAUGCGUAGCCGACCUGAGAGGGUGAUCGGCCCCACUGGAACUGAGACACGGUCCAGACACCGACGGGAGGCAGAAGUAGGGAAUGUUCCGCGAUGGGCGGAAGCCUGACGGAGCAACGCCGCGUGAGUGAUGAAGGUCUUCGGAUCGUAAAACUCUGUUAUUAGGGAAGAACACAUGUGUAAGUAACUAUGCACGUCUUGACGGUACCUAAUCAGAAAGCCACGGCUAACUACGUG
rnacentral:rRNA from 1 species